rnacentral:rRNA from 1 species
CCUGACCCAAGCAACGCCGCGUGGAGGAUGAAUGUCGUAAGAUUGUAAACUCCUGUUAGAGGGGAAGAAUAAUUCCGAUCGAAUCGGAACUUGACUGUACCCUCAGAGAAAGCUCCGGCUAACUACGUGCCAGCAGCCGCGGUAAUACGUAGGGAGCAAGCGUUGUCCGGAUUUACUGGGUGUAAAGGGCGCGCAGGCGGGUCAGUAAGUCAGAGGUGAAAUCCUACAGCUCAACUGUAGAACUGCCUUUGAUACUGCUUGAUCUUGAGUAUGGAAGAGAGGGACGGAAUUCCAGGUGUAGUGGUGAAAUACGUAGAUAUCUGGAAGAACACCAGUUGCGAAGGCGGUCUCUUGGUCCAAUACUGACGCUGAGGCGCGAAAGCGUGGGUAGCAAACAGGAUUAGAUACCCUGGUAGUCCACGCCGUAAACGGAUGAAUACUAGGUGCUGGGUCUUUAGAUUCAGUGCCGCAGCUAACGCAUUAAGUAUUCCACCUGGGGAGUACGAUCCGCAAGGUUGAAACUCAAAGGAAUUGACGGGGGCCCGCACAAGCAGUGGAGCAUGUGGUUUAAUUCGAUGCAACGCGAAGAACCUUACCUAGGCUUGAAAUGCAGUGGACCGGGUAUGAAAGUACCCUUCCCUUCGGGGCUGCUGUACAGGUGCUGCAUGGCUGUCGUCAGCUCGUGCCGUGAGGUGUUGGGUUAAGUCCCGCAACGAGCGCAACCCCUACCAUUAGUUGCCAUCAGGUAAUGCUGAGCACUCUAAUGGGACUGCCUACGCAAGUAGUGAGGAAGGUGGGGAUGACGUCAAGUCCGCAUGGCCCUUACGCCUAGGGCUACACACGUGCUACAAUGGGUGCUACAAUGGGUAGCGAAGCCGCGAGGUGAAGCCAAUCCCACAAAGGCAUCCCCAGUUCGGAUUGGAGUCUGCAACUCGACUCCAUGAAGUUGGAAUUGCUAGUAAUCGUGGAUCAGCAUGCCACGGUGAAUACGUUCCCGGGCCUUGUACAUACCGCCCGUCACACCACGAGAGUCGGUUGUACCAGAAGUCGGUGGGCUAACCUUCGGGAGGCAGCCGC